rnacentral:lncRNA from 1 species
CAGCUGAUUCUUGGCUCCCCUGAUACCUCAUCCUGGUGGUUUCAUGUGGAAAGAGCUCCCCGCCCCUCCCCGGCCCAUGGUAGCUAUGGCUUGCUUGAAUCCUGCCUCACACGUGAUAAAUUAUUCAUCCCUUUAAGGAAAAGAACAGCGAAAGAGGGCUUUGGCUAUCAUUACUUUUCAUCCUUGAAGUCUCCAGCAAAGUCUCAUUCCCCUGCAGGCCUUGCCCCUUCCAUUUCCUUCUCACCUGUCCUCUUUUUCACCCUCUUCUCUUUGCUCUUCAUGCUUGCUGUCCCCCAGGACUCUGAGGAGGAAGUCCAGUAGGGUCAAAGGCUUCUCACCAGGCCUCUCACCAGCCCCUCAUCUGGCCCUGUACACCUGUAACACCCCUGAAUCCUCCUCAGGGUACUUCUCCGAGGAUGACUCUGCAGGGCACUCCGUUAUCCACCAGCCUGGCUCUGCAUCCACCUCCAAUAAUGGUGCCUCCCAAGUUGGCAUCUUUAACUGGAUGGCAAUAUACAUUUCAGGUGGGUUGUACCAGGGGGUGGCCACAGUGCCCAGGGGAGUGGUGCUUCGCUGUACCGAGAAGAGUUUCUUCA